CUAUAUUUAAGUAUAUUUUUGUACAGAAGUUUUUGGAACUUUAAGAAAUAGUUAAAAUUCUAUUAAAUAUAA
rnacentral:tRNA from 1 species